rnacentral:rRNA from 1 species
AACGAACGCUUGCGGCGCGCCUAAUACAUGCAAGUCGAGCGAGAAAGUACUUCGGUAUGAGUAAAGCGGCGGACGGGUGAGGAACACGUAGAUAAUCUGCCUUAGAGUGGGGGAUAACUAAUCGAAAGAUUAGCUAAUACCGCAUAAGACCACAAGGACUUCGGCUCAAGGGGUUAAAGGAGCAAUUCGCUCUAAGAUGAGUCUGCGUACGAUUAGCUAGUUGGUGAGGUAAUGGCUCACCAAGGCAACGAUCGGUAACUGGUCUGAGAGGAUGACCAGUCACACUGGAACUGAGACACGGUCCAGACUCCUACGGGAGGCAGCAGUAGGGAAUAUUGCACAAUGGACGAAAGUCUGAUGCAGCGACGCCGCGUGAGUGAUGAAGGCCUUCGGGUUGUAAAACUCUGUGAUAAGGGAAGAUGAUGACGGUACCUUAUCAGAAAAGACCGGCUAACUUCGUGCCAGCAGCCGCGGUAACAC